ACGGAAGGCAGCAGUGGGGAAUAUUGCACAAUGGGGGAAACCCUGAUGCAGCAACGCCGCGUGAGUGAAGAAGUAUUUCGGUAUGUAAAGCUCUAUCAGCAGGGAAGAAAAUGACGGUACCUGACUAAGAAGCCCCGGCUAACUACGUGCCAGCAGCCGCGGUACUACGUAUGGAGCAAGCGUUAUCCGGAUUUACUGGGUGUAAAGGGAGCGUAGACGGCGAAACAAGUCUGAAGUGAAAUCCCGGGGCUCAACCCCGGAACUGCUUUGGAAACUGUUUUGCUAGAGUGCAGGAGAGGUAAGCGGAAUUCCUAGCGUAGCGGUGAAAUGCGUAGAUAUUAGGAGGAACACCAGUGGCGAAGGCGGCUUACUGGACUGUAACUGACGUUGAGGCUCGAAAGCGUGGGGAGCAAACAGGAUUAGAUACCCUGGUA
rnacentral:rRNA from 1 species